rnacentral:tRNA from 1 species
GGUACCUUGUCCGAACGGUUAGGUAACGGUCUGCAAAACCGUUCAAAGCGGUUCGACUCCGCUAGGUACCUCUA